UUACUGUGUAAAAAAUGAUCAUCCCGGUCAGAUGUUUCACGUGUGGCAAAAUAGUUGGAAACAAGUGGGAAGCCUACCUUGGCCUUCUGCAAGCAGAGUAUACAGAAGGAGAUGCCCUGGAUGCCCUUGGUUUGAAGAGAUACUGCUGUCGCAGAAUGCUCCUAGCCCACGUGGAUCUGAUUGAGAAGCUUUUGAAUUAUGCUCCUCUGGAGAAAUGAGAUGGAAAAGAUACACUGCAAGACAUGCGGAUCAUAUCUCUAAUACUAAGCUUGAAACUGGACUUCAGGGGUUAAAGGAUGCAAGCCUUUAAAUGUACUGCAACCAUUCAGAGGUUUUUAUUUUCUGAACAAAACACUGCCACCAGCCACUAACCUCUUUCAGAGAAACCAAUGAAAGAUGAAGUCCACUUAAUCAAGAAUUGGAGAUUAAAUUAACUUUUAGAUGCUUCUGCUGGCAAAAAUAAAGCUUUAUUUUAUAAAAUAUAGUAAAUUUGUAUAUGGAAAAAUGCUAAAAUAAAGGAGGUCUUUCCCUGUA